AAGAUUUCCUUCUGGUUUUGUCGCUGCGCUGCCUUCGUCUCCCGAGUCGGCCAAUGGGAGUGGUCUACAUGGCGGUGGGCGUGGUUUAUGCAAAUAGAGCUAUUAGGACAUGGUUUUCUGCAGCGGCGGGCGCCAGGUUGUAAAUGAGCAAGGAGGAAGGGUGUUAAUUUCAAAGAUUGCAUGCCCAUGCAAUCUUGGCAGAGGAUUAUUGUCAAUACUAUUGCAGAAUAAGUGGCUGUUUGCACGCAUGCAGUCAGACUCUGUUUGGGAAACCCUGGGCGGAUUCACACAGCACACGUCAUAUCAAACUUGUAUAAUCUAUAUUUGUCGGUCAGUCAAGUCUUUUUAAGGCCACCCUACGGAACAUAAAAAGCACUCCGAGAUCUCCCUCUGAUCCAGCCACGUAUCUUUCCUCCAGUCACCCACAAGCAGAACAUCAGGAAAAAGUUGCUGUUUUGCAGCAUUUUUCUUUGUCCACAGGAUGGCAGGCGGAUCCCUGAACAUGAAAGAAUGGAAAGCAGGGAAGGAUUUAGAGAAAUUCUCACCCAUUUGGCAGGCUGCAGGAUGCUCCAACUGUUUGAUGGGAUGAAGCUGGGCACGAGUAUAGGAGCAGAUGUGAACCCUGGGUAUUGUUAGAGACCUGCUAGGGUGGGGUGGGGGUUAAUUGGUCCACUCCUGACUGUUCCCAGGGUCUCCAGGGUUUGUUUGGCAUGCUGUAACUUUGUUGCUUGUAUCCUUACGAUUUAUAUUGAUACUGAUUGUUUCCUGAUUGCUUAUUUGUACCCGAUGACUAUCAUUAAACGUUGUAUCAUUAAGUGUUAAAUUUGUACCCUAUGACUACCAUUAAGUGUUGUAAGUGUUGUACCUUGAUGAAGGUAUCUUUCCUUUUAUGUACA